rnacentral:piRNA from 1 species
UUGGACAAACUGAAAGCUGAGCGUG